rnacentral:Y_RNA from 1 species
GGCUGGUCUGAAUGCAGCUAAUUGAUCAUAACCAGUUAUAGAUAACAUUUUUCCUUCUCUAUUCCCACUGCUUCACUUGAUUACUCUAAA